GGGUCUUCUUGGGGCCGCCUUGCCCCGCCCCAGUCCGGCCGCGGCGCGGGUUCCGGCGGCUGCUUGGAGGGCUGCGGUGUCCGGGGCAUGAGUGGGGUGCGGGGGACCGGGGAGCCUCGGUGCCAGGCGGCGCUCGCGGUCCUGGCCUCUCUGUGCCGGGCCCGGCCGCCCCCUCUCGGGCUGGACGUGGAGACUUGUCGAAGCUUCGAGCUAGAGCCCCCAGAGCGGAGUCCGAGCGCUGCCGACUCAGGCACCUCUGUCAGCCUCCUCGCAGUGGUAGUGAUUGUGUGUGGCGUGGCCCUGGUGGCAGUUUUUCUCUUUCUCUUUUGGAAGCUGUGCUGGAUGCCCUGGAGGAACAAGGAGGCCUCCAGCCCCUCCUCUGCUAACCCCUCCCCGGAGGCCCUCCAGAGCCCCAGCUCCAGAGGCAACAUGGCGGACAAGCUCAAGGACCCCCACACCCUGGGCUUCCUAGAGGCGGCUGUGAAGAUCAGCCACACGUCCCCAGAUAUCCCGGCCGAGGUGCAGAUGUCCGUCAAAGAGCACAUCAAGCGUCACACACGGCUGCAGCGACAAACCACAGAGCCAGCAUCGUCCACCAGGCACACGUCCUUCAAGCGCCACCUGCCACGGCAGAUGCACGUGUCCAGCGUGGACUACGGCAACGAGCUGCCCCCAGCGGCGGAGCAGCCCACCAGCAUUGGCCGCAUCAAGCCCGAACUGUAUAAGCAGAAGUCGGUGGAUGGGGACGAUGCCAAAUCCGAGGCCAAGAGCUGCGGGAAAAUCAACUUCAGCCUGCGCUACGACUACGAGAACGAGACCCUGAUUGUGCGCAUCCUGAAGGCCUUCGACCUCCCAGCCAAGGACUUUUGCGGCAGCUCCGACCCUUACGUCAAGAUCUACCUCCUGCCCGACCGCAAGUGCAAGCUGCAGACCCGGGUGCACCGCAAAACCCUGAACCCCACCUUCGACGAGAAUUUCCACUUCCCAGUGCCCUACGAGGAGCUGGCCGACCGCAAGCUGCAUCUCAGCGUCUUUGACUUUGACCGCUUCUCCCGCCACGACAUGAUCGGGGAGGUGAUCCUGGACAACCUCUUCGAGGCCUCCGACCUGUCCCGGGAAACCUCCAUCUGGAAGGACAUCCAGUACGCCACAAGUGAAAGUGUGGAUUUGGGCGAGAUCAUGUUCUCCCUCUGCUACCUGCCCACAGCAGGCAGGCUCACCCUCACCGUGAUCAAGUGCCGGAACCUCAAGGCAAUGGACAUCACAGGCUACUCAGAUCCAUAUGUCAAAGUGUCCCUGCUCUGUGACGGGCGGAGACUGAAGAAAAAGAAAACCACCAUAAAGAAAAACACCCUCAACCCUGUCUACAACGAGGCCAUCAUCUUCGACAUUCCCCCGGAGAACAUGGACCAAGUCAGCCUGCUCAUCUCCGUUAUGGAUUAUGAUCGAGUGGGUCACAACGAGAUCAUUGGAGUCUGUCGUGUGGGGAUCAACGCCGAAGGUCUGGGAAGGGACCACUGGAACGAGAUGCUGGCGUACCCACGGAAGCCCAUCGCACACUGGCACUCCUUGGUGGAGGUAAAGAAAUCCUUCAAAGAGGGAAACCCUCGGUUGUGAUUUCAUUCACGUGGAUGCUGCGAGCAGAGAGACUGCCACCUGGAGUUAGGAUGGCAAGGCCGAGCCGCCAGCUUCGACAGCGAGGGUUCGUGCCCGUCUCCGAAACCACCUCCGACACCAUGAGCUGCACGGCGGCUGCCAGGCUACACAAACGAGACUCAGCAGCGUUCUUUUUGCACUUGUUCAACC